CACGCCGUAAACGGUGGGUACUAGGUGUGGGGGACAUUCCACGUUCUCCGUGCCGUAGCUAACGCAUUAAGUACCCCGCCUGGGGAGUACGGCCGCAAGGCUAAAACUCAAAGGAAUUGACGGGGCCCCGCACAAGCGGCGGAGCAUGCGGAUUAAUUCGAUGCAACGCGAAGAACCUUACCUGGGUUUGACAUAUGCCGGAAACAUCUAGAGAUAGGUGCCCCUUUUUGGUCGGUUUACAGGUGG
rnacentral:rRNA from 1 species